AGUGGCGGACGGGCGAGUAACGCGUGAGCAACCUGCCCUAUGCAGGGGGAUAACACCGGGAAACCGGUGCUAAUACCGCAUAAGACCACACUACCGCAUGGUAGAGUGGUAAAAGCUGAGGCGGCAUAGGAUGGGCUCGCGUCCAAUUAGCUAGUUGGUAGGGUAACGGCCUACCAAGGCGACGAUUGGUAGCCGAACUGAGAGGUUGGUCGGCCGCAUUGGGACUGAGACACGGCCCAGACUCCUACGGGAGGCAGCAGUGGGGAAUAUUGCGCAAUGGGGGAAACCCUGACGCAGCGACGCCGCGUGAAGGAAGAAGGCCUUCGGGUUGUAAACUUCUUUGAUCGGGGACGAAGAUGACGGUACCCGAGGAACAAGCCACGGCUAACUACGCGCCAGCAGCCGCGGUAAUACGUAGGUGGCAAGCGUUGUCCGGAAUUGCUGGGUGUAAAGGGCGUGUAGGCGGGGAUGCAAGUCAGAUGUGAAAUUCCGGGGCUUAACUCCGGGUAUGCACCUGAAACUGUCGUUCUUGAGUGAAGAAGAGGAAAGCGGAAUU
rnacentral:rRNA from 1 species